CCUGCGGGGCGCUCCGUGGCUGCCGCCUCCAUCCCUCUGCGGCUCCCGCUGCUGGGCUGGCUGGUCCGUUGGCGCCGAGUAACCAAAAUAGUGCUUUGCUGUGAAACAGGAUAUUACAGUGGGGAGAAAAAUCAAACAUCCUUGGAGUCAGAAGACUGGCUCAGAGUCCUGACUCUGGAGCCAACUAGCUGUCACUUUUGGGCUUCUCUCAGGUGGAUUCUUACUUCUCAGAGAAAAUAUUUUCACUGGAAAUGAAAGCAUCUACAGAAACCUUUGGCAUGGGUAAUGGGCUUGGCCAGAAGACAACUCAGAGCUCUGGAGUGUUACUUUCAGUUUUCUUUCCUGCUUUCAAAAAUCACCACCUGAAGCCAUGUCUUCUCCAUAUCCCAAAACAGCUGGAGAAACAGAAUGAAUGGUUACUGAAAUAAAUGCUUAAGGCAGGGAGUC